rnacentral:rRNA from 1 species
AGUGAACGCUGGCGGUAGGCCUAACACAUGCAAGUCGAACGGCAGCACAGUAAGAGCUUGCUCUUACGGGUGGCGAGUGGAGGACGGGUGAGGAAUACAUCGGAAUCUACUUUUUCGUGGGGGAUAACGUAGGGAAACUUACGCUAAUACCGCAUACGACCUACGGGUGAAAGCAGGGGAUCUUCGCACUUUGCGCGAUUGAAUGAGCCGAUGUCGGAUUAGCUAGUUGGCGGGGUAAAGGCCCACCAAGGCGACGAUCCGUAGCUGGUCUGAGAGGAUGAUCAGCCACACUGGAACUGAGACACGGUCCAGACUCCUACGGGAGGCAGCAGUGGGGAAUAUUGGACAAUGGGCGCAAGCCUGAUCCAGCCAUACCGCGUGGGUGAAGAAGGCCUUCGGGUUGUAAAGCCCUUUUGUUUGGAAAGAAAAGCAGCAGGUUAAUACCCCGCUGUUCUGACGGUACCCAAAGAAUAGGCACCGGCUAACUUCGUG